UCCAGUGUCUUUAGCGACAGUGAACCACCUGAUUCCAUCCCGAACUCAGCAGUUAAGCCUGUCAGCGCCGAUGGUACCUUUUUGAGGGAGAGUAGGUCGAUGCUGGGA
rnacentral:rRNA from 1 species